GACACAUGGAGACAAGGAAAGUGAAACCGAACCCUCGAGUUCCUCUGGCCUCCCAGGCUGCGGCUGCCACCCCAAGGACGUAGUCACCAGCUGCAUCUGGCACAAGCACUUCCUAGACCCAGGAAUCACAGAGUGUGACCACGCCUGCCUGGCCUGCUCACCCGCGGCUGGGAGGGGGCCUCAGCCACCCCUCCUGCCCCCUUGUCCCUGGAGCCACCACAGCCCCCAGGGGGAAAGCUUCAAGCCCCGCAGGCCCCUGGGAAACAUGGUGGACGUUGCCAGGCUGCUGCUGGAGCAGGAGGAAGCAGGAUCCUUGCUCGUCAAGGUCCACCAGGAGCACUUGGAGGACAUAAGGCUGUUGGAGAGGACUCUAGAUUCUUGGCUAUAAAGUUGUGAUGCAUCAGGAACCCCAAGUUCUGCAGCCUGAGUUCAGAGAUGCUGCAAGACCUGCCCCCCGAGUCUCCUUUCCACACUCUUGUCCCAACACCUUAAACUCAGACCAGGAAAGUCACUCUUUGGGUCACAGCGAUGGCAAAUGGGUUUCACGACGGAGGGGAACGGUACGCGGUUCUGAGUGGUUGUGUGAGAAUUAGGUACGUUAAUAUGGGCAUUCCAAGCCUAGCCGUGCCUGGGGCGGAGCGAGUCCUCUACAUGGAUGUGACCAGAGCCCCCAGCCUGCGAGGAGUGCUAAUCUCUCCAAGCGGAUGAAUUCAUUUGACCCCGGAAACAGUCGUCAGUAUUUCCGCUUGGCAUCUGAGGAAACUGAGACCCACCCAUUUCACUCAGCCCUGAAGUGAAGGAGCCAGACUUGAAUCCCAGCCCCCAGACCCACGCACUGUACACUACAAACAGAAGCGGAGCACAGCGCGAGAGAUGUUCCGAAGGAAAACAAACAAGUCCUCGCUUCUCUGGUCUCGCACUUCACCACGUGCUCACCUGGCAU